CCUCAUUUCAAAUCCCCCCAACCCCAAGAAUCCAUGGAAUAAGAAAACCCUCGUCCUGAAUCCCACUCGCCGACCUCCACUUCCACCUCGUCUUCUCUCUUGCCUGAUCUUCUUUUUCAAUGGUUGCAGAUGUAGCAACGCUAUCCUUGUGCCGCUCUCUGGGAUUCAGACCUCCGAUGAACUCAUACCACGUCCCACAGUGCUCUAGCUCGAUUAUUCCCUCCUUCAAGAAAUCAAUGAUAAAUGCUAGCAGAAAUCCGCGGUGAAGGAGCAGCGACCAAAAAAGCAUGGGGGUUUCCUUGUGGGUAAAUACCAUAGAGUAUUUGCAGAAGCUGAACGAUGAUCGAAGUUAGGCUUACGCUGAUAUUUCUUUUGCCUUGAUGAUCAUCGCUGGCCCUGGAAUCAGGAAGGGUAUCACUCUGGCCAACAUUAUAGGAUGACUUUCAUGGCUGCUGCUACAUCAGAGUUGAGAAUAGGAUUGCGCUGGUGGUCGAAAGAGAUGGCGAAGGAUCUCUCAAUGGGUAUUUUCACUUGCUCUGUUUGCAGCUCUGAUGGCCGCACUCAGUAAAGCAAAAGCAUCUGGGGGAACUGAAAUACAAAAAAUUGGGUGACAAAUCAAGAGUUACCAGAGCCAUUAUGUUCAUACUUAGAACCACUGGUGGAUUUAAGGGGGGGCAAGGGGGUGCUUGAGCACCCCCUUGGCCCAUCAUAUAUAUAUAUAUAUAUAUUCAU